GAUCCUGGCUCAGGAUGAACGCUAGCUACAGGCUUAACACAUGCAAGUCGAGGGGAAACGAUAGAGAAAGCUUGCUUUUUCUAGGCGUCGACCGGCGCACGGGUGAGUAACGCGUAUCCAACCUGCCCAUCACUUGGGGAUAACCUUGCGAAAGUAAGACUAAUACCCAAUGACGUCUCUAGAAGACAUCUGAAAGAGAUUAAAGAUUUAUCGGUGAUGGAUGGGGAUGCGUCUGAUUAGCUUGUUGGCGGGUAACGGCCCACCAAGGCGACGAUCAGUAGGGGUUCUGAGAGGAAGGUCCCCCACAUUGGAACUGAGACACGGUCCAAACUCCUACGGGAGGCAGCAGUGAGGAAUAUUGGUCAAUGGACGAGAGUCUGAACCAGCCAAGCAGCGUGCAGGAAGACGGCCCUAUGGGUUGUAAACUGCUUUUAUAAGGGAAUAAAGUGAGUCUCGUGAGACUUUUGCAUGUACCUUAUGAAUAAGGACCGGCUAAUUCCGUG
rnacentral:rRNA from 1 species